rnacentral:rRNA from 1 species
GUGGGGAAUAUUGGACAAUGGGCGAAAGCCUGAUCCAGCCAUGCCGCGUGUGUGAAGAAGGUCUUCGGAUUGUAAAGCACUUUAAGUUGGGAGGAAGGGCAGUAAGUUAAUACCUUGCUGUUUUGACGUUACCGACAGAAUAAGCACCGGCUAACUUCGUGCCAGCAGCCGCGGUAAUACGAAGGGUGCAAGCGUUAAUCGGAAUUACUGGUCGUAAAGCGCGCGUAGGUGGUUUUGUAAGUUGGAGGUGAAAUCCCCGGGCUCAACCUGGGAACUGCCUCAAAAACUGCAUGACUAGAGUACGGUAGAGGGUAGUGGAAUUUCCUGUGUAGCGGUGAAAUGCGUAGAUAUAGGAAGGAACACCAGUGGCGAAGGCGACUACCUGGACUGAUACUGACACUGAGGUGCGAAAGCGUGGGGAGCAAACAGGAUUAGAUACCCGUGUAGUCC